ACUUAAAUAGUUUAAUAAAAAUAUUGAUUUGUGGUGUCAAGGAUAUAAAAAUUUAUUUUAAGUU
rnacentral:tRNA from 1 species